AUGGGAAGCAUUCCCGGUAUUUGGGGCCCUGUUGUAGGCGUACUUUGCG
rnacentral:antisense_RNA from 1 species